rnacentral:lncRNA from 1 species
AACGCGCGGAAGAUUUCAUGCACACAUUAUAAUGUUCAACGUGUGAUGCGGUUUGUGUGUGAAGAAACGAAUGUGUCAAGAAGACACGUGGUUGUUGUGGUACUUGUGUGGUACUGUAUGCGACGACGGAGUUUGGACGUUUGCGAUUGCAGUUUUUGUUGAGGGAUUUGGAACGAAACUUCACGAAAGAAACAAUUUUCAUGGGAUUUAUUGUUGGAAUAAUCAUUUCCAGCGUUCAUUAUUCGCCUUGUGUUUAAAGUUGGAUAUCGAGCUAGAACUUGUGUUACAUCAUCAUCCCUCAUCACUCAGUCAGGCAGUUCAGUCAGGCAGUCAAGAAUAUGAUUGGAGUCGAGUUCUCGAGAACCUAGUAUCAGUCUUCCUCAAGGAGCAAGUAGACUUGAUCCACCGGGUGUUGACGUGGAAGCUUGUUCGUCAAAGAGUCAAGGACCGCCCUUAAAACGCAACCGAAGACACGCACAGAAAUCGUCCGAAAACUUCCAUGGAGAAGCUGAACCGAAUCGCAGACUACACCUCGUAAAAUCAGUGCGCUCGUCGCCUGCCAUCUCAUGAAUACAUAACAAUCCCAGAAUGCUUUGGGAUGAUCAUGUGUGGUUGGAAUGGCGGUCUGGCUUUUGACAAUGUGUCUGGGAACUAAUGCGUCUGCAUUUCCUCGUAAAAAACGUCUGAGGGGUGCUUUUAUCAGAGGGAGGCUAAAUGGAGGACGAUGGGAAAGCGACGAGGAGUUUUUUUAGAGGUCGCCGGUGCUCGGGACCGAGGCGUCGGUCAAGGAAACGAACUUGUCAAUGCCAUCGCACGCCGACUUUUCAGAACAGUCACAAUCACACCAUGUGCCGUGGAACACACGAAGAGAAUCUAGACGACAGCAAGCAGCCUGUAUGAGCUGUACAUUUAGGGUAACCCUGGGCCUCUCAAACGGGUCACAUGACUAGCCCCGCUCCCAUUUACUAUGAGGACGUGAAGGGUCAAAGUUCGCUUUGAGAUCCCAUUCCAGAGCUGGAAUCUAAUGGAAUUUAUUGUGGAAUAAAUCAGGUCUUAAUGUCUGUUUUAUUUUUAUUGCCAAACAACCCACUAUAGUAAAGAGAAGGCCUUCUAUGGAGCUAUCUGUACAUACCCAAGAAUCUUGGACUACUAUGGAUAUACUCAAAUAGGACUGGAUAAUAGUAAGAAGGUAAGUGGGACAGGGUUUACAUUCCCCCCAUCAGAGAUAAGCAUAGGGGGGUUGCCCCUAAAAUAGUUAAAAUAAAAAAGCCCUAUCAAUAUUGAAUAUAAAUCCCCUCGAGUAGGACUGAAUGAUCGUCAGAAAUUAAGGGGGACAGGGUUUACGUUCUCCCAUUAGAGAUAAGCAUGGGGGGUGCCCCUAAAUAAAAAAUAGCCCUAUUAAAAUUGAAUAAAAAGCCCCUCGAAUAGGACUGAAUGAUCGUCAGAAAUUGAGGGGGACAGGGUUUACAUUAUCCCAUUAGAGAUAAACAUGGGGGGGAGGGGUUGCC